rnacentral:rRNA from 1 species
AUUGAACGCUGGCGGCAGGCCUAACACAUGCAAGUCGAACGAGUGGCGGACGGGUGAGUAAUGUCUGUGAAACUGUCCGAUGGAUCGGGAUAACUACUGUAAACGGUAGCUAAUACCGCAUCCCAUCGCAUGUGCUCAGAUGGGAUUAGCUCGGAGGUGGGGUAACGGCUCACCUAGGCGACGAUCCCUAGCUGGGGUGAGAGGAUGACCAGCCACACUGGAAAGGAGACAAGGUCCAGAGUCCUACGGGAGGCAGCAGUGGGGAAUAUUGCACAAUGGGCGAAAGUCUGAUGCAGCCAUGCCGCGUGUAUGAAGAAGGCCUUCGGAUUGUAAAGUGCGUUCAGCGGGGAGGCGUUACUCGAAGAAGAAGCAACGGCUAACGCCGUGCCAGCAGCCGCGGUAAUAC